rnacentral:rRNA from 1 species
AUUGAACGCUGUUGGCAUGCCUUACACAUGCAAGUCGAACGGCAGCACGGAGCUUGCUCUGGUGGCGAGUGGCGAACGGGUGAGUAAUAUAUCGGAACGUACCCUAGAGUGGGGGAUAACGUAGCGAAAGUUACGCUAAUACCGCAUACGAUCUAAGGAUGAAAGUGGGGGAUCGCAAGACCUCAUGCUCGUGGAGCGGCCGAUAUCUGAUUAGCUAGUUGGUAGGGUAAAAGCCUACCAAGGCAUCGAUCAGUAGCUGGUCUGAGAGGACGACCAGCCACACUGGAACUGAGACACGGUCCAGACUCCUACGGGAGGCAGCAGUGGGGAAUUUUGGACAAUGGGCGAAAGCCUGAUCCAGCAAUGCCGCGUGAGUGAAGAAGGCCUUCGGGUUGUAAAGCUCUUUUGUCAGGGAAGAAACGGUGAGAGCUAAUAUCUCUUGCUAAUGACGGUACCUGAAGAAUAAGCACCGGCUAACUACGUGCCAGCAGCCGCGGUAAUACGUAGGGUGCAAGCGUUAAUCGGAAUUACUGGGCGUAAAGCGUGCGCAAGCGGCUUUUGUAAGUCUGAUGUGAAAUCCCCGGGCUCAACCUGGGAAUUGCAUUGGAGACUGCAAGGCUAGAAUCUGGCAGAGGGGGGUAGAAUUCCACGUGUAGCAGUGAAAUGCGUAGAUAUGUGGAGGAACACCGAUGGCGAAGGCAGCCCCCUGGGUCAAGAUUGACGCUCAUGCACGAAAGCGUGGGGAGCAAGCAGGAUUAGAUACCCUGGUAGUCCACGCCCUAAACGAUGUCUACUAGUUGUCGGGUCUUAAUUGACUUGGUAACGCAGCUAACGCGUGAAGUAGACCGCCUGGGGAGUACGGUCGCAAGAUUAAAACUCAAAGGAAUUGACGGGGACCCGCACGAGCGGUGGAUGAUGUGGAUUAAUUCGAUGCAACGCGAAAAACCUUACCUACCCUUGACAUGGCUGGAAUCCUCGAGAGAUUGAGGAGUGCUCGAAAGAGAACCAGUACACAGGUGCUGCAUGGCUGUCGUCAGCUCGUGUCGUGAGAUGUUGGGUUAAGUCCCGCAACGAGCGCAACCCUUGUCAUUAGUUGCUACGAAAGGGCACUCUAAUGAGACUGCCGGUGACAAACCGGAGGAAGGUGGGGAUGACGUCAAGUCCUCAUGGCCCUUAUGGGUAGGGCUUCACACGUCAUUCAAUGGUACAUACAGAGCGCCGCCAACCCGCGAGGGGGAGCUAAUCGCAGAAAGUGUAUCGUAGUCCGGAUUGUAGUCUGCAACUCGACUGCAUGAAGUUGGAAUCGCUAGUAAUCGCGGAUCAGCAUGUCGCGGUGAAUACGUUCCCGGGUCU